UGCCGCGUGCAGGAUGACGGCCCUAUGGGUUGUAAACUGCUUUUAUACGGGAAGAAAUGCGCCCACGUGUGGGCGUCUGACGGUACCGUAAGAAUAAGGACCGGCUAACUCCGUGCCAGCAGCCGCGGUAAUACGGAGGGUCCGAGCGUUAUCCGGAAUCAUUGGGUUUAAAGGGUCCGUAGGCGGGCCUGUAAGUCAGGGGUGAAAGUUUGUGGCUCAACCAUAAAAUUGCCUUUGAUACUGCAGGUCUUGAGUCAUGGUGGGGUCGCCGGAACAUGUGGUGUAGCGGUGAAAUGCAUAGAUAUCACAUAGAACACCGAUCGCGAAGGCAGGUGGCCAACCAUGUACUGACGCUGAUGGACGAAAGCGUGGGUAGCGAACGGGAUUAGAUACCCCGGUAGUCCACGCCGUAAACGAUGGAUACUAGCUGUGGGGACUUCGGUCUCCGUGGCCAAGCGAAAGUGAUAAGUAUCCCACCUGGGGAGUACGUUCGCAAGAAUGAAACUCAAAGGAAUUGACGGGGGCCCGCACAAGCGGUGGAGCAUGUGGUUUAAUUCGAUGAUACGCGAGGAACCUUACCAGGGCUUAAAUGCAGGCUGCAUGGGGUAGAGAUACCCCUUUCUUCGGACCGCCUGCAAGGUGCUGCAUGGUUGUCGUCAGCUCGUGCCGUGAGGUGUCAGGUUAAGUCCUAUAACGAGCGCAACCCCUACCGUUAGUUGCCAGCAUGUCAAGAUGGGGACUCU
rnacentral:rRNA from 1 species